UUAUUGCAACGGCUCGUUUUAUUGCCGUUGCAUUAGAUAACCCUAAUACAACGACAUAAACUUUGUACAUCAAAAAGUGGGGCUAACGCAACGGCUUCAAGAAGUCGUUCCAUUUAGGGGUGCUAAUACAAUGGCCUAAAAGGCUAAUGCCACAGUAGUGAUUUUGGAAUUUUUAAAUGCGCUUAAAUUGAGAUAAUCCGCCCCUCUAAUAAGAAUUUUGUGAGUCACUAGUUGGAGGACCUCUUUCAUACAUACCCUCUCUCUCUCUUUCACACACACUCUAUCUCUCCUCAAUUGAGCAAGCUUUCUGAUGAAGCGGCGUACUCUGGGCUUUCUUCUCUCCAUUGAAGCUGGGUUGAGGUACUUAUUAUUAUUAAUCAUCAAAUAUCAAUUUGACAAUCUAGGGUUUAACUAUCUUUGAUUUAAUUGUCAACAAUCUAGGGUUCUUUGGUGGAUUUGAAUUUCUAGUAAUUUGUUAUUUACUCACUAUUUGUAUCACUUGUUACUCCAAUGGUCGUGGAUCUUGUGUUCGACCACCAUCAGUGGACAUUCGUCGCAAUGGUACACCUCUCAAUCUCUCUCUUUUCAAUCAUCAAUUAUAAUCUAGUUUAGAUUAAUUUAUUGUGUAUGAAUCUGAUUUAUUCGACAUAAGUUUGGAUUGAUUUGUUUGAUUUUUUGUUGCUUGAAAUGUUAGUUAAUAAUUUUGAGUUUAUUGUGAAAUAUGCAUUUUAAAAACUCCAAAUCAUUACUAUUUUUUGCGCUUUUUGUUUAUUUGAUCUAAUGAGAUGUCAAUUUUUUCAUUUUAAUUCUGAUUAUUAGCUUAGUUUGGUUGCUUUUGAGGUUGAAAUCAAUUGUUAUCUAGGGUUUAUGAAACAUUUGUUUGUAAUAUGUAAGUUUUGCUGGCUUUUGAGGUUUGUAUUAAUUGUUAUCUAGGGUUUAUGAAACAUUUGUCUAUAAUCUGUAAUCUUUUGUAGUGAUUUUAGUUCAAUAUAUUGGUAUUGUUGUCGGCACACUCAGAUUUAUCUAAAUUUGGGCAUUGAAAGAUAACUUAAGCAUAUAAAAUAAAAUUGAGAAUUUACUUCAUUUACUAGUAUAAACAAUGAGUGAAUUGAAUGCAAAAUAUUUAUAUUAAGACUGUUAAUCUUUCAUACGGAGUGCAUACUUCAUGAAAUGGAAGUUGGAAUGAUAUGACCAAGUAGAUAUAUAGAUUCCACUGUUAUAUACGUACCUCUCUUUUUGUUGCUUCAUCGUUGCUAUUGAUAAAGACACUCAAGCUAUCUGUAACGUAUUGUAGUUGGUUAUUGCAAUUAUUCCAUUUAGUACAGCUUCUGGAUUCUUGGUAUAUGGUGGAAGGUAUUAAUUGAUUUUGGACCGUUUGAAUGUAGUGAAUUUUCAAUCUAUUUUGAGAACUGACUUGUUUAUUUCCAUCCCAUUUAUAUAUGUACUGGUUGAUAAUCAAUUUACAGUUGUUGAAGCGAUUUCCUAUAGUUGUUGUAGGUCGUCAAAAGAAGAUCUAUGAAGUAAUAUUUUGAACCCACAGGGUUAGUCAGAAACCAACUGUGUGAAAAUCGACUUCCAUCUGUUCUGGACAGUUUAUGUUGUUAUGAAACAAAAGCUUCCUCUUUCCCCCAGACAGAAAAAACGUUCUCAGCUCUGACCUUCAUUUUCAGGUGGGGCAUCAGCAACUAAGCAUUUUUUUUAAUUGUGGUAUUUAUUGGUUUAGGAUGUGCGAUGAUUAUGCUAAGCUUUUUCUUAGAAAUUUUUUUACUUAUGCUUGUUUAUGUAAACACGCCCAGAGAACCAAGAAGGUUGGUAUUGUCGGGAAAUACAGUACCCGUUAUGGUGCUAGUCUGCAUAAGCAGAUUAAGAAGAUGGAAGUAAGUCAGCACAACAAGUACUUCCGCGAGUUCUGAAUAUGGGGAAGAAAGGAGCAUAACCCCGAGCCUGGAAAGCAGAAUGCUGGAAUUGAUCAUAUCACAGCAAGACUUAAUAAAGACACGACACACAAAUAUUUAAUUUUGAUACUUAUUUCAUGGUUUAAUUAGUGACAUACUAUAUAAUUUUGUAAUUUUCCCUAAGGGUAACAAACUAACAAUGUACAAGUCUACAACUUAUAUUAAUAAAGUUUGGAUUUGAUUAUUA